GUACUUGCUUCGGCAGCACAUAUGCUAAAACUGGAACAAUAAAGAGAAGAUUAGCACGGCCCCUGUGCAAAUUCAUGAAGCGUUCCAUAUUUUU
ensembl:snRNA U6 U6 spliceosomal RNA